AGAUAAGAAGUGAUACCUGCGUUUUAACUUCGAACUAAAGAAAGAAUUUUUUUCCUUGUCUA
rnacentral:tRNA from 1 species